UUAUAUUUCUCAUUCCCUUGUUGCUAUUUCUUAAAAAAACCAAAAAAAACCAUUUCUAUUCCUUUCCAUUAGUCACAUUUUAUAUCUCUCUUAUCUUGAUAAUCCUUAAUUUAGUAUUAAAGCCUUCUCUUGUACCCAGAUAUUAGCAGAACCAACAUUAUCAAAAAAUAUGUUUUUUGCUUCAUAUCCCACUAUGAGUCUCGCUGGGAAGCCCCAGUGAUAAUUAAUAAAACGUUGUUUUUUUCUUAAUAUCCCGGUGUGAAUACACGUCUUUUCUAUCUUGUUUCAUAUGAUAAGUCUGCGAAGACCUUAAGGCUUCCUUGCCUUGAUGCCCUCUUACUUCUUCUCUAAACAAAUAGGAGUUACAACAUAUCAUUUCAUCCCUUGGAGUUUCUGGAGUCAGGCUGCUUGUUUUUGGGAUUCUAUGGUAUCUUUCCACAAAUUUGUAUUUAUCAUCCAUGUGGAUUCCCAUCUCUGAGAAAUAAGAUUUUAGAAAAUCCUGCAAUUUAUCUUGGCUUAUAUUUUCUGGCAUAUUCCUUAUCCUCAAAUUCUUUUGCCUGGAUCGAUCUUCUAAAUUAAUCAUUUCCAACUCAAUUUCUGUUUUUCUUGUUAAUAUUUAAUCAAAAUUUCUGUGUGGUCCAAUUUUUCUUCAACCAAUUUAAUCUAAUGUCCAAUUUCCUUUAUAUCCCUUUUUAAGUCAUAAUUGUUAUUAGAGUUGUUGAUCAAGGCAGCUUUUAAGAAAGACCGGCGUUACCGGUGAAGGUUCAUUCACUUUCGCAAUCUCCGUCUCAGCUGUUUUUUCUCCUCAUUAGUGGGGCUGGGUUCCUUUGGAGGCAUUUCUGUUAAGGAUUUAUCAGUUUGGGGUAUGAAGAAAUUUGAUAAUCUCUUUUCUAUUUUAUGUUCCCUUCUUUCUCCCUUGUCCUUAUUCUCCUUUUCUUUGGUUAAAUGGGCUUCUGUUCUUGGUUUCUCCUAGAUGAGACACCUUUAUUUUGAUUUACAAGUGGAGCAAAUGGCUGAGAGUAAUGAGCCCCCAAAAUGAGGUAAUAAACUUCAAGAGCCCUUAUGCUCGAUUUCAUUUCCCUAUUUGGCUCCUAUCUCUGUCUCCAGUAUCUCUUUAAGGUGUAGAGAAUGUAGCCAUAUAUAAUAACAGGUAGGAAAGGGAGCAGUAAGUAUCCUGUAUGAGUGAUAGGUGAUAACUCACAGGAAUCGCAAGCCUUUUUGCCUACUUUGACUCUUAUUGUUUUAUGUCCAGACUGUCACUUUAAGAGGGGAUGUAGGAUAAAUAUGUGACGAAGACGCCAAUAAUAAGUAACAGCCCUGGAUUGGCGUUUAUAAGUAACAGCUUUUCCUGUUCAUCCCAGCUGUUUAGAAAGGUAUAAGUAAUCAAGGGCUAAUUUUCACUCACGUUUUACUGUAUAUGUUUAAAUCCUCUGAGUAUCCAAUCUCUGUGGGGUUACCUCUCUAUGCCUCACCAACCCUCUCACACUUCAAAUUUUCACUUUUUGGAGCGUGGUGGUUCUUUUUUCCUUCUCCUUUCUUCCCCCUCCUCUCCUCCUCCCUCCUCUCCUCCUCCCUCCUCCUUCUCUCCUUUCCCUUCGGUGCACCAAUGUCUCUCUCGUACCCUCGGUGAAUUAUAAUUUCAAGUUAACUUGUAUCUCAUUAUUUUGUAACCAAUUCUGAGGUACCAUAUCUCUUUAAGUAGAAUGUGAGAUGGACGAAUGCUAAGAAGCGAGUAGUAAAUAGCAAGCCUUUAUAGAGGUUUUUGUAAAUAGUAAAACAUAAUAUUCACUCCUAUAGUUUUAGAAAUGUGAAUACACAAGGGCUAGUUCUCACCCAUCUUCGCCGUGUUUAAUUAUAGCCUCUGGCUUUCCGUUCUCAGCGGGGUUUCCUCUUUAUGCCUUGCC